rnacentral:rRNA from 1 species
GAUGAACGCUAGCGAUAGGCUUAACACAUGCAAGUCGAGGGGCAGCAUUAUUUUAGCUUGCUAAGAUAGAUGGCGACCGGCGCACGGGUGCGUAACGCGUAUGCAACCUGCCUGUAAUUAGGGAAUAACCCGGUGAAAGUCGGACUAAUAUCCUAUAUUCUUCUUUCUCCGCAUGGAGGAGGACGGAAAGAUUUAUUGAUUACAGAUGGGCAUGCGUCCCAUUAGCUAGUUGGUAAGGUAACGGCUUACCAAGGCAACGAUGGGUAGGGGGACUGAGAGGUUGACCCCCCACACUGGUACUGAGACACGGACCAGACUCCUACGGGAGGCAGCAGUGAGGAAUAUUGGUCAAUGGGCGAGAGCCUGAACCAGCCAAGUCGCGUGAAGGACGACGGUUCUAUGGAUUGUAAACUUCUUUUGUAGAGGAAUAAUGGCAGCUACGUGUAGCUGAGAUGCAUGUACUCUACGAAUAAGUAUCGGCUAACUCCGUGCCAGCAGCCGCGGUAAUACGGAGGAUACGAGCGUUAUCCGGAAUUAUUGGGUUUAAAGGGUGCGUAGGUGGCGUAUUAAGUCAGUGGUGAAAAGCUGCAGCUCAACUGUAGUCUUGCCGUUGAAACUGAUAUGCUAGAGAGGAGACGAGGUAUGCGGAAUGUGUGGUGUAGCGGUGAAAUGCAUAGAUAUCACACAGAACGCCGAUUGCGAAGGCAGCGUACCAGGCUCCGUCUGACACUGAAGCACGAAAGCGUGGGGAUCAAACAGG